GGUUAAGCGACUAAGCGUACACGGUGGAUGCCCUGGCAGUCAGAGGCGAUGAAGGACGUGCUAAUCUGCGAUAAGCGUCGGUAAGGUGAUAUGAACCGUUAUAACCGGCGAUUUCCGAAUGGGGAAACCCAGUGUGUUUCGACACACUAUCAUUAACUGAAUCCAUAGGUUAAUGAGGCGAACCGGGGGAACUGAAACAUCUAAGUACCCCGAGGAAAAGAAAUCAACCGAGAUUCCCCCAGUAGCGGCGAGCGAACGGGGAGCAGCCCAGAGCCUGAAUCAGUGUGUGUGUUAGUGGAAGCGUCUGGAAAGGCGCGCGAUACAGGGUGACAGCCCCGUACACAAAAAUGCACAUGCUGUGAGCUCGAUGAGUAGGGCGGGACACGUGGUAUCCUGUCUGAAUAUGGGGGGACCAUCCUCCAAGGCUAAAUACUCCUGACUGACCGAUAGUGAACCAGUACCGUGAGGGAAAGGCGAAAAGAACCCCGGCGAGGGGAGUGAAAAAGAACCUGAAACCGUGUACGUACAAGCAGUGGGAGCACGCUUAGGCGUGUGACUGCGUACCUUUUGUAUAAUGGGUCAGCGACUUAUAUUCUGUAGCAAGGUUAACCGAAUAGGGGAGCCGAAGGGAAACCGAGUCUUAACUGGGCGUUAAGUUGCAGGGUAUAGACCCGAAACCCGGUGAUCUAGCCAUGGGCAGGUUGAAGGUUGGGUAACACUAACUGGAGGACCGAACCGACUAAUGUUGAAAAAUUAGCGGAUGACUUGUGGCUGGGGGUGAAAGGCCAAUCAAACCGGGAGAUAGCUGGUUCUCCCCGAAAGCUAUUUAGGUAGCGCCUCGUGAAUUCAUCUCCGGGGGUAGAGCACUGUUUCGGCAAGGGGGUCAUCCCGACUUACCAACCCGAUGCAAACUGCGAAUACCGGAGAAUGUUAUCACGGGAGACACACGGCGGGUGCUAACGUCCGUCGUGAAGAGGGAAACAACCCAGACCGCCAGCUAAGGUCCCAAAGUCAUGGUUAAGUGGGAAACGAUGUGGGAAGGCCCAGACAGCCAGGAUGUUGGCUUAGAAGCAGCCAUCAUUUAAAGAAAGCGUAAUAGCUCACUGGUCGAGUCGGCCUGCGCGGAAGAUGUAACGGGGCUAAACCAUGCACCGAAGCUGCGGCAGCGACGCUUAUGCGUUGUUGGGUAGGGGAGCGUUCUGUAAGCCUGUGAAGGUGU
rnacentral:rRNA from 1 species